AGAGUUUGAUCAUGGCUCAGGACGAACGCUGGCGGCGUGCCUAAUACAUGCAAGUCGAGCGAAUCACUAGGAGCUUGCUCCUGGUGGUUAGCGGCGGACGGGUGAGUAACACGUGGGCAACCUGCCUGUAAGACUGGGAUAACUUCGGGAAACCGGAGCUAAUACCGGAUAAUCCUUUCCUUCACAUGAAGGAGAGCUGA
rnacentral:rRNA from 1 species